rnacentral:rRNA from 1 species
GGCGGCGUGCUUAACACAUGCAAGUCGAACGAUGAUCCCAGCUUGCUGGGGGAUUAGUGGCGAACGGGUGAGUAACACGUGAGUAACCUGCCCUUGACUCUGGGAUAAGCCUGGGAAACUGGGUCUAAUACCGGAUAUGACUCCUCAUCGCAUGGUGGGGGGUGGAAAGCUUUUGUGGUUUUGGAUGGACUCGCGGCCUAUCAGCUUGUUGGUGGGGUAAUGGCCUACCAAGGCGACGACGGGUAGCCGGCCUGAGAGGGUGACCGGCCACACUGGGACUGAGACACGGCCCAGACUCCUACGGGAGGCAGCAGUGGGGAAUAUUGCACAAUGGGCGCAAGCCUGAUGCAGCGACGCCGCGUGAGGGAUGACGGCCUUCGGGUUGUAAACCUCUUUCAGUAGGGAAGAAGCGUAAGUGACGGUACCUGCAGAAGAAGCGCCGGCUAACUACGUGCCAGCAGCCGCGGUAAUACGUAGGGCGCAAGCGUUAUC